CAGAGUUCCACUGAGCGCUAGGAGCGGAAAGGGGAGAUUGAAAAGAAGGGAUGGGCCAAAGCGUGGGGACGGGGAGAUGAACAGUCCUAGAGGACCUCUCUAUGGCGACCACUUGAGAGACCUGGAUGGUAAGAAGGAGAUGGCCUGGGAAGAUCCGCAAGAAGCGUGUUCCAGAAGCAACCUCCUGCCUCAGGAAGUUGACUGGACUUAGAGGUGCUGACAGAGACAGUGGAUCCACUUCUAAGUCUUGAUCCACAAAACACUGACUUGAGGCCCCACUGGGAAAUGAAGCCAAAUUCCAGCCCAGUUCACAGCCUUAUGGUCUUCCUACUACAUUGUGUCUCAACUGGUAAUCUCUGCCUCCUGAGAAUUUACCUUUUGGACUCAGCAGAGGUCAAUAGAUUUUUGGCAAAGGAUGCUCUGCAACAUUAUUUAUGAUAGAAAAAAAAGUGAAAGUACCAAAGCCUGGUUAUAGAAGAAUAGCUUAGCAAAUCAUGGCCCACCUCACAAAGAAUCUCUUGCAGUAGCUGGAAAGGCUGAUUAUAAAGAUUAUGGACUACUAUGUAGCACAGAGAACUAUAUCCAAUAUCCUGUGAUAAACCAUAGAAAAAUACGAAAAAAAUGUAAACAUAUAUACAGCUGAAUCACUGCUGUGCAGAAGAAAUUAACACAUUGUAAAUCAUCUCUACUACAAUAAAAUAAAUCUUUAAACAAAGAUUAUGGAAAGGCCAAUGAUAAUACAGUAAGUAAAAAAGGCCCCAUGUGGAAUUCCCAUCAUGGCGCAGUGGUAAAUGAAUCUGACUAGUAACCAUUGAGGUUGCAGGUUCCAUCCCUGGCCUCGCUCAGUGGGUUAAGGAUCCAGUGUUGCUGUGAGCUGUGGUGUAGGCCAGCAGCUAAAGCUCCAAUUUGACCCCUAGCCUGAGUACCUCCAUAUGCCACAGGUGCGGCCCUAAAAAGCAAAACAAAACAAAAAAAAAAAGCCCCAUGCAAAAUGGUCUGUACACCACAAUUACAGUUGUGUCAAAAUACAGCCAUGUGUAGGGACUCUGAGAGAAUAUAAAAAUGAAACCAACUGUGUGGUUGGUGAGGUUGUUUUUCCCAUUUUCAAAAUUGUCCUUUACAAUUGUUGCUAAUUUGUUAAUCUAAAGAGUCAGUGUUUCUGGGAGUUCCCGUCGUGGCGCAGUGGUUAACAAAUCCGACUAGUAACCAUGAGGUUGUGGGUUCGAUCCCUGGCCUUGCUCAGUGGGUUAAGGAUCCGGCGUUGCCAUGAGCUGUGGUGUAGGUCGCAGACUUGGCUCGGAUCCCACGUUGCUAUGGCUCUGGCGUAGCCCGGCAGCUACAGCUCUGAUGAGACCCCUAGCCUGGGAACCUCCAUAUGCCGCAGGAGCAGCCCAAGAAAUGGCAAAAAGACAAAAAAAAAAAAGAGUCAGUGUUUCUGAAUCCUCCCUCUCCCUGAUUGCCCCCUAGAAAGCCUAGUUUAGGGUCUGUCUGCCUCUGUAACCUUUGGUGAGGCAUCACACGCCUGCUUCAUGGAGUUGUCACGAGGGUUUGUGUCACACCUUCUUGUAGUGCCCUGUACCGGUUCUUCAUGGUACUUGAGACGAGUGAGUUCGGAGACUGUAGCAUGUGCCUUACAUUCUCUACCACCCACUCAAAGUAUUGUAAUUCCUUCUUCCUGAGAUUGAGCCUGGUACUGGAGGACCAGGUCAGAAACCUAAUGUCAGCAGCUAUUCUGGGCUUUUGAAAAAUAGAAACUCACUGAGUGUCUAAGGUGAGAAGGAAGAAGGCUUGUGAGAAGCUAGGAGCAAUAUUCCUAGGCCAUAUCAUAGAAAAAGGGUGCACCUAUCCUCGGAGACUAGACCUCAAAGGGAAGGACUAAUAAAUAAUGUGAUGGUGUUCUUCCCACCAUGGCUCAGUGGAAAGGAAUCUGACUAGAAUCCAGGAGGAUGCAGAUUCGAUCCCUGGCCUCACUAAGUGGGUUAAGGGUCCAGCAUUGCCCUGAGCUGUGUGUAAGUCACAGACGCGGCUGGGAUCUCGCCUUGCUGUGGCUGUGGUAUAGGCCAGCGACUAUAGCUCUGAUUUGACUCCUCGUCUGGGAACCUCCAUAUGCCAAGGGUGUGGCCCUAAAAAGACCAAAAAAAAAAAAAAAUUGUGAUGGCAAUGUAACUAACACAAAGUACUUUUAUGGGGAAAAUAUCUAUUUAUACAAAUGUGUGUGUGUGUGUGUGUGUGUGUGUGUGUGUGUGUGUGUGUGUGUUUUCAUUUAACCCUUAAAACAAUAUUAUAAGUAGAUACUGUUAUUAUGCCCAUUUUACAGAUGGGAAAACAGGCAUUGGGUGGUUAAGUAACUUUCUCAAGUUUCCCAAUGUCUACGACUUCCUAGUAACAGACCCAGGAUUCAAACUCUAAGAGCCAGUGCCUUAAUCACUAUACUCUGUUGUCACCUAUGGCCCUCAAGGGCCUGGAAGGGACCCCACCUGGGGUUCAAAGUUCCCACCAAGUUUCCACAUAUCCCUAACCUGACACAAAAGCCACAAAGACCCAAGACCUUGAAGGUCUAUGCUGUGAUGCCAGUGGGCAUCUUACCUAUGAUCAGAGGGAGCAGAUUACCAGUCAAGAAAGGAAACCAAAAGAAAAAAAAAAAAAAAAAA
rnacentral:lncRNA from 1 species